rnacentral:lncRNA from 12 species
GUUUUAUUAGAAUCUAAUUGGAAGAUGAUCGCAUUCACAGGACCUAGUUAGUAAGUCUGAAGCUACAAACUUCAAUUUUUCAUAAAAAUUUAGGAUUUUAAACUUUGUAUUCAAAUUUUUGCUACAGACAGUAGCAGACACUCAACACUUUCAAAAGCAGACUUCAGUCAACAACUCAAGCCCUUCACACGGAUGCACAGUAAUGAAACACAGCCAUGUUAAAUACUCCCUAGUCAUGUGCCAAGGCAAGAAUUUUCCCCAGACUCCUGUGCCAUUGUCUAUUCAGUUUGUGAUUGUGUGAGUCUGUGUACAUGUAACUUCUGCUCCUGGUAGCCUACUAGGGACGUCUCAUGGCAGCACAAUUUUGAGAAACAACAUCAUGGUUUAGGAAACUUUGCUGAUUCAUCAGAGUUGAGUUUGUAGGACAUGCAGCAGAACUUGAGCAAAAGGGGGUUAUGGUUAGUGGAGGGGUGUGGUAGACAAAUACCACCUGGUAAAUCACCCAGCAUGAUUCUGCUCAUUGAAGAGAAAGAAUAAAUAGAUUAAUACAGAGUUUUGCUGCUUCCCAUGGUCUUUCUGAUUUUCUGUGCCACUCAUCCUGACAUUUCCACUACAGCUUUUCCCAACUUCCAGUACCAUUCUCACUCCAUCAAGUGAACAACUUCAAUUUUAGCACUGCAUUGGUACUUUAACGAUAUGUACUCACUCCUUAAAGCAAACCUCAAAUCCUGCCUUCUCCAAACCACCAUCUACCUUUCCAUGAAUUUGAAACUUGUUUCACAUCAAGCACACUGUGUGAGCUUUCUUCCCAGAAAUGUGUCUGCAACAAUAUCACGGUGGGACUCAGCUCCAUGAGUUGCCCUGUAAGCAAGAACCACACCCUCCUUUUGAAAGCAGAGACUUUGUGUGUGUGUGUGUGUGUGUGUGUGUGUGUGGAUCAAGAAAGGACGCAACAGGCUUUUGCAUGACUGUCAGAAACAGACUUCUGAUAACCAACUGUUAAUGGGUGCUCCUCCCAGUGCCACACACCUUCUCCUCACCUUUAUUCUCCUAUUCCCUACCAAAUCAGGGAGAACACAUCUCCCCCUUUGGCUUUUUUGCUAGCAC